rnacentral:rRNA from 1 species
GACAGAGGUCCCGAGCGUUAGGCGGAAUCACUAGGGCUUAAAGCGGUGUGUAGGCGGAUGCCUAAGUACCUUGUGAAAUCCACGCUCACCCGUGGAACUGCUUGGUAUACUGGGUGUCUUGAGCCACUUAGGGGCGUACCGGAACAAAUGGUGGAGGCGGUGAAAUGCGUAGAUAUCAUUUGGAACGCCAAUGGUGAAAACAGGUAGCUGGGGAGUGAUGCUGACGCUGGAGACACGAAAGCCAGGGGAGGCAAACGGGGA